rnacentral:rRNA from 1 species
CGCGUAGGCGGUGCGGUAAGUCACCUGUGAAACCUCCGGGCUCAACUCGGAGCCUGCAGGCGAAACUGCCGUGCUGGAGUGUGGGAGGGGUGCGUGGAAUUCCCGGUGUAGCAGUGAAAUGCGUAGAGAUCGGGAGGAACACCUGUGGCGAAAGCGGCGCACUGGACCACAACUGACGCUGAGGCGCGAAAGCUAGGGGAGCAAACAGGAUUAGAUACCCUGGUAGUCCCUAGCCCUAAACGAUGGAUGCUUGGUGUAGCCGGUACCCAAUCCGGCUGUGCCGCAGCUAACGCGAUAAGCAUCCCGCCUGGGGAGUACGGUCGCAAGGCUGAA